GAAAUAGAAUAUCCAUCUGCAUGCAAUGUCUACGAGCUCUGCUUCUGCUGAAGUACUGCAACGGCUUUGUCGGACUCCUCAGUUGCUUUCCAUCUGAAGCUGCAACUUUAGAUGGAUUUCCCCGAAGACAAGUAUCCACAGGGCGAUGUGCCCUCAGUGGAUUCUCAGGAGUGUGGCUUCUGGGUCUGCUUCGACCAUAAUCCCGAAGACCAAUAGGGCGGAAUACCUUCUUCGAUCAAUCAGGAAAAUGGCUGUUGGGUCUUCAUCUACUCUGCUUCGACCAUAAUCCCGAAGACCAAUAGGGCGGAAUACCUUCUUCGAUCAAUCAGGAAAAUGGCUGUUGGGUCUUCAUCUACUCUGCUUCGACCAUAAUCCCGAAGACCAAUAGGGCGGAGUACCCUCUUCGCUCAAUCAGGAAGAUGGCUGUUUGGUCUUCUUUGGUCAUGAGGAUCACCUUGAGACAUGUCCUCAAAGUGUAUAGACUGCUUUCCAACUCACGGUUGUCCAUCUUUAGGCGUAUCACAUCUUUCAGACU
rnacentral:lncRNA from 1 species